UACUCCCAGUGUGGAUUUGUUAAAAAUCCUUAAUGAAAGUGCGACAGUGGGAGGAGGGGACAGACGAGGGACAUUUCUCAUAAUGAGGCACAGUGGACAAAGGUACGAUGAUGGAAGUGCCCAUUUUAACUGGGUUAAUCUGGCAACAAAUUCGCAUUUCAGGACCAGACUGAAACCCGGAUCUUUGCAGGGCUCCUUUGUUAGUGUUAUUCGCUCUACCUGCUCUGAUGAACAGUCCCGCCUCCUAAACUCAGACGUUAUUGUUCCUCCUUCUAUGUUCAAAAACAUUUCAAAUGUGCACAGGACCCCUGCUCUGCUGGGAUAUCGGACCCCCCAAUCAACCAGAUACAUUAACAAAAAUGGAAGCCUACAUUUUACUACUGGAUGCCCCCAUUCUCUAAGUGCACCCCAAGAUUCUUAAUUUCCAAUUGUAUCUCCAGCCACGUACUCCGCUCUUUGUAGACACCCCAUUUCCAGCUGCACACCUAACCUCCACCUGGGAGACUUACAGCCCGCUCCCUCGCGAUCCCCACUCCGCGUGCAGAAGUGGCUGUCCCCCGCGAUCCCCACUCCGCGUGCAGAAGUGGCUACUCAGGCACGAGCGCAUUGCUUAUUGGUGGACUUGGGAAGUGUCAUUCGUCUGGGAAACCCGACACGUGCAGAAGGAGGGAAGCCCUCUGCUUGGCUGCUACUGCAAGGGUUUGUAGGAAUAUUUCACAACCACUACGUACCAAAUGCAUGGAUGUACUAACAGAAGGAAAGAUAGGGAUAUCUGAGCCUGUGGAAUAUCAAAGGCAGCAAUACACACUGUUUUAAAUUACACAUUGGUGCUGGCAAGGUAAACACGACAACUUGAGGGGCAGGGCAGAACUGACUUCCAUAGUGUAAGGAAACUGCAAAACUAUGAAACAAGACGAAGCAGGAAGUGAGAGAAUGUCUGAUGUUCCACAGAAAAGACCCAGAACAAUCACCAAGUUUGUUGAGUACGUAGGGUCCUUCGCUGUUGAAGAUGUCGAGUUUGAUAAGAAGAUCCAGAAGGUACAUCAAUACCUGGAUGCACUGAAGGUAACUGAGUGG